ACUCAAAGGAAUAGACGGGGGCCCGCACAAGCAGCGGAGCGUGUGGUUUAAUUCGACGCAACACGCAGAACCUUACCCAGCCUGGACAUGGACCUGCAGGCGUGAGAGAUCACGCGGCCUUCGAGGGUGGUCCACAGAUGCUGCAUGGCUGUCGUCAGCUCGUGUCGUGAGAUGUUGGGUUCAGUCCCGCAACGAGCGCAACCCCUACGGUCAGUUACACGUGUCUGGCCGGACUGCCCUUCGGGGAGGAAGGCGGGGAUGACGUCAAGUCCGCAUGGCUCUUACGGCUGGGGCGACACACACGCUACAAUGGUCGGCGCAAUGCGUUGCGACCGGGUAACCGGAAGCUAAUCGCGAAGGCCGACCCCAGUGCAGAUUGGGGGCUGCAACUCGCCCCCAUGAAGGCGGAGUUGCUAGUAACCGCGUAACAGCCUUGGCGCGGUGAAUACGUACCCGGGCCUUGCACACACCGCCCGU
rnacentral:rRNA from 1 species